rnacentral:rRNA from 1 species
CAUGCCUUACACAUGCAAGUCGAACGGCAGCGGGGGAGAAGCUUGCUUUUCCUGCCGGCGAGUGGCGAACGGGUGAGUAAUACAUCGGAACGUGCCCUGUAGUGGGGGAUAACUAGUCGAAAGAUUAGCUAAUACCGCAUACGAUCUGAGGAUGAAAGCGGGGGACCGUAAGGCCUCGUGCGAUCGGAGCGGCCGAUGUCAGAUUAGGUAGUUGGUGGGGUAAAGGCUCACCAAGCCGACGAUCUGUAGCUGGUCUGAGAGGACGACCAGCACACUGGGACUGAGACACGGCCCAGACUCCUACGGGAGGCAGCAGUGGGGAAUUUUGGACAAUGGGCGCAAGCCUGAUCCAGCAAUGCCGCGUGCAGGAAGAAGGCCUUCGGGUUGUAAACUGCUUUUGUACGGAGCGAAAAGGCUCUCUCUAAUACAGGGGGCUCAUGACGGUACCGUAAGAAUAAGCACCGGCUAACUACGUGCCAGCAGCCGCCGUAA